ACGAACGCUGGCGGCGUGCCUAAUACAUGCAAGUCGAGCGGAAUGAUGAAGAAGCUUGCUUCUUCUGAUUUUAGCGGCGGACGGGUGAGUAACACGUGGGCAACCUACCUUGUAGAUUGGGAUAACUCCGGGAAACCGGGGCUGAUACCGAAUAAUCCAUUUUGCUUCAUGGCGAGAUGUUGAAAGACGGUUUCGGCUGUCACUAUAAGAUGGGCCCGCGGCGCAUUAGCUAGUUGGUAGGGGUAAUGGCCUACCAAGGCGACGAUGCGUAGCCGACCUGAGAGGGUGAUCGGCCACACUGGGACUGAGACACGGCCCAGACUCCUACGGGAGGCAGCAGUAGGGAAUCUUCCACAAUGGACGAAAGUCUGAUGGAGCAACGCCGCGUGAGUGAAGAAGGUUUUCGGAUCGUAAAACUCUGUUGUAAGGGAAGAACACGUACGAGAGUAACUGCUCGUACCUUGACGGUACCUUAUUAGAAAGCCACGGCUAACUACGUG
rnacentral:rRNA from 1 species